AUUCCAGCUCCAAUAGCGUAUAUUAAAGUUGUUGCAGUUAAAAAGCUCGUAGUUGGAUUUGUGGUUGGAGCGACCGGCCCGACACAGUGUGUUGGUGCUUGGUUGUCUCCGUCCAUCCUUGGGUGGAGCCUGUGUGGCAUUAAGUUGUCGUGCAGGGGAUGCCCAUCUUUUACUGUGAAAAAAUUAGAGUGUUCAAAGCAGGCUUACGCCGUUGAAUAUAUUAGCAUGGAAUAAUGAGAUAGGACCUGGGUACUAUUUUGUUGGUUUGCGCACCGAGGUAAUGAUUAAUAGGGACAGUUGGGGGUAUUCGUAUUCCAUUGUCAGAGGUGAAAUUCUUGGAUUUUUGGAAGACGAACUACUGCGAAAGCAUUUACCAAGGAUGUUUUC
rnacentral:rRNA from 1 species